rnacentral:tRNA from 1 species
GGGCAGGUACCCUAGUGGACAAAGGGGGCAGACUGUAAAUCUGCUGCGCUUGCGCUUCGAAGGUUCGAAUCCUCCCCUGCCCA